rnacentral:rRNA from 1 species
AGAGUUUGAUCCUGGCUCAGAUUGAACGCUGGCGGCAGGCCUAACACAUGCAAGUCGAGCGGAUGAGGGUAGCUUGCUACCUGAUUCAGCGGCGGACGGGUGAGUAAUGCCUAGGAAUCUGCCCGAUAGUGGGGGAUAACGUUCCGAAAGGAACGCUAAUACCGCAUACGUCCUACGGGAGAAAGCGGGGGAUCUUCGGACCUCGCGCUAUCGGAUGAGCCUAGGUCGGAUUAGCUAGUUGGUGAGGUAAAGGCUCACCAAGGCGACGAUCCGUAGCUGGUCUGAGAGGAUGAUCAGCCACACUGGAACAUGAGACACGGUCCAGACUCCUACGGGAGGCAGCAGUGGGGAAUAUUGGACAAUGGGCGAAAGCCUGAUCCAGCCAUGCCGCGUGUGUGAAGAAGGUCUUCGGAUUGUAAAGCACUUUAAGUUGGGAGGCAAGG